UACGGAGGGUGCAAGCGUUAUCCGGAUUCACUGGGUUUAAAGGGUGCGUAGGCGGGCAGGUAAGUCAGUGGUGAAAUCUCCAAGCUUAACUUGGAACCUGCCGUUGAUACUAUCUGUCUUGAAUAUUGUGGAGGUGAGCGGAAUAUGUCAUGUAGCGGUGAAAUGCUUAGAUAUGACAUAGAACACCAAUUGCGAAGGCAGCUCACUACACAAUCAUUGACUCUGAGGCACGAAAGCGUGGGGAUCAAACAGG
rnacentral:rRNA from 1 species